rnacentral:rRNA from 1 species
AGAGUUUGAUCAUGGCUCAGGAUGAACGUUGGCGGUGUGCCUAAUACAUGCAAGUCGAACGGAGUUAAUAGCAAUAUUGACUUAGUGGCGAACGGGUGAGUAACGCGUUGGUGAUCUGCCUCGAAGUGUGGAAUAACGUUCCGAAAGGAUCGCUAAUACCGCAUGUGCUCUUGAUUUUUAGAAAGUUGAGAGUAAAGGAUUUAUUCGCUUCGAGAGGAGCCUGCGUCCCAUCAGCUGGUUGGUAGGGUAACGGCCUACCAAGGCUAUGACGGGUAGGGGACCUGAAAGGGUGGCCCCCCACAAUGGAACUGAAACACGGUCCAUACACCUACGGGUGGCAGCAGUAGGGAAUAUUAGAAAUGGACGAAAGUCUGAUCUAGCACCACCGCGUGUGCGAAGAAGGCCUUCGGGUCGUAAAGCACUUUUUGGAAGGAAUAGGAAGGAAUGUACUUCCAGAAUAAGUCUCGGCUAACUACGUGCCAGCAGCCGCGGUAACACGUAGGAGGCAAACGUUAUCCGGAUUUACUGGGCGUAAAGCGCGUGUAGGUGGUACUGUAAGUAGGGCGUGAAAGCUCCCGGCUCAACUGGGAGAGGCCGUUCUAAACUGCAGAACUAGAGGAUGGUAGAGGGAGGUGGAAUUCCAGGUGUAGCGGUGGAAUGCGCAGAUAUCUGGAGGAACACCAGUGGCGAAGGCGGCCUCCUGGACCAUUCCUGACACUCAGACGCGAAAGCUAGGGUAGCAAACGGGAUUAGAGACCCCGGUAGUCCUAGCCCUAAACGAUGUAGACUAGGCGUCGGUGGUUUAAUCACCAUCGGUGUCCAAGCUAACGCGAUAAGUCUACCGCCUGGGGACUACGGCCGCAAGGUUAAAACUCAAAUGAAUUGACGG